UGGGGGAUAUUGCACAAUGGGCGAAAGCCUGAUGCAGCGACGCCGCGUGGGGGAUGAAGGCUUCCGGGUUGUAAACCUCUUUCGCUAUCGAACAAGGCCCGCUUAGGGUGGGUUGAGGGUAGGUGGAGAAGAAGCGCCGGCUAACUACGUGGCAGCAGCCGCGGUAAUACGUAGGGCGCGAGCGUUGUCCGGAAUUAUUGGGCGUAAAGGGCUUGUAGGCGGCUUGUUGCGCCUGCUGUGAAAACGCGGGGCUUAACUUCGCGCGUGCAGUGGGUACGGGCAGGGUUGAGUGUGGUAGGGGUGACUGGAAUUCCAGGUGUAGCGGUGGAAUGCGCAGAUAUCUGGAGGAACACCGAUGGCGAAGGCAGGUCACUGGGCCAUUACUGACGCUGAGGAGCGAAAGCAUGGGUAGCGAACAGG
rnacentral:rRNA from 1 species